rnacentral:lncRNA from 1 species
CUGCGAUUCUCGGAUCCUCUCCUUACUUGAUUCAUUAUUCAUCAGGGUGCAUAUGUGGCAGGGUUUGGCCUGAGAGGUUCAUUUGUUUAUUUAUUUGAACUUAACAUGAAUGAAAAUCCCUCUGCUUCGGCAGAAUGGACCAAAACGGGAACGAAGGCAGAACUCCUGUCCUCUGCAGGCCUUGUCUGUCUGCUGGCGUGCUCCACCGUAAGGGUUUCUGGUUUUGUUUUGUCAGGGGCAUCCUGCCAUCAAGAGUCCACGUAGGCAGGUCCAGCUUAUCUGGGUAGAUGGAGGAAACAGGGCGAUGCCGUUUUGAGACCUCACCGUUCCAUUCUGUGGCAGAUCCUUCCCACCUGCCGGCUGGCCUCGGCUGUUCAGCCCUUUCCAGAGCCGCGGAGAUGGGCCUUGUGCCACCAGGGGGCGACGCUGUCCCUCUUUAGAUCCAAGCAUAGCGCAGACAUCUUCAGAGCCUAGGAGCAGGGUCAAAGGCUGCCACAGUCCAGGGGACUAUUUUUUUUUUUCCUUCAAGACUGGAAUUGAACCCAGGGACCUUCUGUCACCGAACUACAUCCCCAAACCCAAACCUUUCUAUUUUUUAUUUUGAGACAAGUUCUGGCUAAAUUGCUGAGGCUGGCUUUGAACUUGCAAUCCUCCUGCCCCAGUCUUCCGAGUCACUGGGGUUAUAAGCCUGUGCCAUGGCACCCACGGAGAAAGCACUUUUUAAAAGUAUUUUUAUUUUGUUGAUAUUAUCUGUGUAUGUUUUGGGCUCCCCCACUGAACGAUAAGCUCCCCUAAAGUAGGAAGCAUGAUCUAUUCCUCACUGUCCCCCCACACUCAGUUCAGCGCAUGGAGAUAUUUUUCCCUUUAAUUGGGGAUUGGGCCAGGACCACUCUUCCUCCACUUUUUUUUUUUUAAUUUUUAAAUUUUGAGACAUGAUCUCCCUAAGUUGCUGAGGCUGGCCUCCAACUUAGGAUCCUCCUGUCUUAGCCUCCCCAGUCACUAGCUGGCCCCAAUGAACUCAUUAUCCCGCCAGAAGAGAUGGUGUGACUUCAGUGGGAGGAGUGAAGAGAACAGGAAACGCGAGAGGGUAAGACUGGGUUGAAUUUGGGGUGCUGUCUAGUGGAUGACCACGUUUCCUGCGCUGGCUUCCUGGGCUCUUUCUCUGACCCUGUUUAAUGAUCCUUGUGCUGGGGGAGCCUUCUCCUUUCCUUUUCUUCCUUCUCAAUAGUCCCUCUUCUCACUGAGAUGUUCACCUGUCUCUCACAGUCCUCCGACUCCCCAGUCACCACACUCCUCUGAAGGUCAGAGUCUCAAGACUCCCCCCUACAUGACCCUUCCCUUCCCCGUUUCCUUGGCUAUCGCACUAUGGUUGCUGGUGCAAGGGGCAGUAUUAGCUCGUGACAGGGCAGGAGUGUGAUUCGUGUGAUGGCCAAGCUAAGGGCAGACUUCAGAUGGCAUACGCUGAUCCUGGAAUUAGAGAUCAGGAUUUGGGAAUAUUCUGGAACGCUCUGGCCAGGGUAAUAAAGAAUCUCUUCUAAGAGUCAUGGCUGAGAUUGUUGGAAUUAACUCGUCAACCUGCAAAUCAGAGACAGACCAGGCUACAGGAAGCCUCUGCUGCUCAAGGCAGGGGUGGGGGGCUCCUGUGGCUCUGAGCUCCCUGCCCCUGGGCCGGCCCUCCUGGUCACCUCAGCGGGAACUCCAGGGCCCGUUCAGGAGUUCAUUCUCCUCUGGGCCUCUCUGCAAACCCAGAAGAGUGAGGCUCCAAGGAAUCUCUCUUUAGAUUCAGCAGAUCCUUUCUUCAGAUCUUUCUAAUGGAGAAGGGAGUCUCCAUAGGAGAGUCUAGUUAGAACCUGUGGUCAUUUUUUUCCAACAUGGCUCAGUAUUUUCUUUGUUCCCAGGCUCUAUAAUCAGGCUCUGAACCUAUCAUUUACUGGUUUGGAGAUAUUUGGCAAAUUAACUCUUUCAAGUCUCAGUUUUAUCAUCUGGAGGUGGAGAUGCCUGUUAUAGGGAUUUAAUGAGAUGAUCUAGGUAAGGUACUUGGCCCCAUGACUGCAUAUAAAUGGUCUCUGUUAUCUUAAAAUGCACCAGAGUAUAGUGCUAAGUCAGCUGAUCCAAACGUGGAGUUUGCCGCUUACUGGCUCCAUGAUCUCAGGAGACUACCUGAACUCUGUGCACCCCCUCAGUUUAGGGGCUGAGGGUUCUGCUCAGUGGUAGAACAUGAGCUCAGCAUGUGUAAGGUUCUGGGUUUGAACCAUAACACCAUGUUAAAAAAAAUAAAAGUAGUUUAAUAGUAGCACCUAUGUCAUAGGGCACUUGUCAGGACAGAGAAACUGACGUAUGUAGAACACUGACCACAGUUCCUGCCAAGUGCCUGUUACUGCCUAGGAGCCGCAGCCUGCAUUAUCUGAAAGAGAUAUGCAUUUGGCUCUGGAAUGCUCUGAUGUGACUUAGUGGGAGAGUUAUUUUCUCAUCUGACUCAGUUUGCAGUAAGAUGAAUCUACAUUUAUUGAUUUGUACAACUCAUUAACACUGGGUCUAGAGAGUUAGGCAUGGUGGCACACACUUGUAAUCCCAACAACUCAGGAGGCUGAGGCUGGAGGAUUGAAGUUUGAGGCCAGCCUCAGCAACUUAAUGAGACUCUAUCUCAAAAUAAAAUAAAAGGGCUGGAGAUGCAGCUCAGUGGUAAAGUGCUCUGGGUCCAAUCCCCAGUACCAAAAAUAAAUAAAUAGAUAAACAAACAAACAAACAAAUGAAAAUAAAACAAAAUAAGAUACUGGGUCUAGGAGCUCAGAAUCGGGUCAAGAGAGCCCUGUUAAAGUGGAAGUGGGCUUCAGAGACUGAAUCAUUUCAAAGCCUCACAACCACCGUUUCAGCAGGGGUCUGGGAUAGUUUACCUUUUGCUACAUAUCAAUUUAGGGAGAAAGAUUUUCUUGUCAGUUUGCAGGUAGAGAAGUAGGUGAAGAGACAGAUUAUGUGCCCUGUCCAAAGGUUGCAAAGGCAGAUCUAUAUUCUACCAUAGACCAGUUGUAUUUAGGAUGGACAUUAAUCAAAGCGCUUUGGCCCUGUCUGACAGGAAGGUUGUCGUCUGACUGGGUUGGAAUCCUUGGGCACAGCUGCAGAGAUUCUGGGUAAGGCCAGGAAUAGAGCACAUUUCAGGGCUUCUACUGCAUGUCUGCGACUGUUUAUUUUUAGAGUCUCCAACGAGGAAAUUGUAAGAAAAAAAUAGAGGAACAAAGGUCUGAAGGAACCGGAGGAACAAAAAGUCAUGGGUUGGAAUCAGGAAAGAGCAACUUAUAAGACCUGAAUUCUUCCUUAGUUUUCAAAAUCUGUAUUAUAAAGUCUAGGUUCUGGGCCACUUUGGCCUUUUUCUAAAUCAUAUCACUGUCUUCUAGGAGAAUUUUGAAGAAUAGGAAGGUCAGAAUGAGGGUAUUGUGCUACCAAUCUUUCUAAAAAAGUGACAAGAAUUGAUUUGGAGAAUGAUCACCCACUAUGGUUGAGAACUGUUUAGAUAAGUGUGGUGACAUGGAAUUGGGAAGAAAAUUCUCCGCUGGCUUCUUAAUGGGAUGACGAUUCAUCAGCAGCAGCAAGAGUCAGGGGUGUCUGUGACCCUUCUCUGGUCAUGUGUGAAGCAGCCCCCUGGGUCACCCGGCAGGACACUUAGUUUUGACUCUGGAAAAUGUCAUGGUAUUUGUUUUAGCCGUAGAUUAAUUUUCCAACUCAACUUGUUAUCUCUAUUAAAAAAUAGUUUAUCAGAGGGUGAUGGGCAUAUGGGUGCUGUGUUUUCUUUGCAUUCGACAGAUAUUUAUCCAGUCCCUGCUGUCAACAUUGCUGAAUGAAGAAGAUCCACGGAGUGAUAAGACUGUGCAUAGUGAAGGCGUGGCCUUGCCCAGGGGGUUAGGUGUGUGCUGGCUAAGGAUGGAGAAAUCCCCUACCCCUCCUUCCCCUGGGUCCCGUUGGUCUCCACGGGCCUGAGAUUGCUCCUGUGCAGAGCCUGGGACAUUGUUUCUGUUUGAACUUCCUCUCUCCCUUUUCUUUAAAAAAAUCGUCAUUUAAGAAUCUUAUCAAUAUUAUUUUGACUGACAGAUCAUGAUUGUAAACGUUUGUGGGGCAUGAGGUGAUGUUUGAUAUAUGUACACAAUGUGCCAUGAUCAGAUCAAGCAGAUUAACAUAUCGUCAUUUCACUUCCCUAUUAUUCUUCUCUGGUGAGACAUCUGAAAUUCACUCUCAGCUAUUUUGAGAUAUACAGCAUCAUCAUUGGCAAUAGUCGUGCACUAGAUCUCAAGACCUUUGCCUCCUAUCCACCUGAGACUUUGGACCUUUUCAUCACAGUCAAGAUAUGGAAACAACCUAGAUGUCCGUUAGUGGAUGAACAGACAGAGGAAAUGUGGAACAAACCAGGUACAGGCCCAUCCUGCGGUCUUCCUUCUCCACUCAGGAGGCCAAGGUGGGAGGGUCCCUGAGCCCAGACAUUUGAGACCAGCAACAUAGUGAGACUUCAUCUGAAAAAAGAAAGAAGAAAUGUGGGCUGUACACACAGUGGAGUACACAGCCUUGUAACAACGUGGGUCCAUCUGGAGGACUUAUGUCAAGUGGAGAAACCAAGCACCACAAGACAGAUCCUGAGUGAACUUAUUCCUGAU